GCACCUUUCUCAGUUGGUAGAGCAUGGGACUGUUGAUCUCAGGAUCGUGGGUUUGAGCCCCACGCUGGGCG